AGGAGUGUAGCUCAGUUUGGAAGAGCAGCGGUCUCCAAAACCGCAGGUCGGGGGUUCGAAUCCCUCCACUCCUG
rnacentral:tRNA from 1 species